CCUUAGAGUUUGAUCCUGGCUCAGGAUGAACGCUAGCGGCGGGCUUAAUAACGCAAGUCGAGGGGCAGCAUGGGUCUUCGGACCUGAUGGCGACCGACGGACGGGUGCGUAACGCGUACGCAACUUGCCAACAACAGGGAGAUAGCCCGGAGAAAUUCGGAUUAAUAUUCCAUAAUGCAGGGGUACCGCCUGGUACUAUUUGCUAAAGAUUUAUCGGUUGUUGAUAGGCAUGCGUCUGAUUAGUUAGUUGGUGAGGUAAAGGCUCACCAAGACGAUGAUCAGUAGGGGUUCUGAGAGGAUGAUCCCCCACACUGGAACUGAGACACGGUCCAGACUCCUACGGGAGGCAGCAGUAAGGAAUCUUGGUCAAUGGGUGCGAGCCUGAACCAGCCACGCCGCGUGUUAGAAGAAGGCCCUCAGGGUUGUAAAUAACUUUUAUACGGGAAGAAUGGCUCUCAUGCGUGAGAGAGGAGACGGUACCGUACGAAUAAGGACCGGCUAACUACGUGCCAGCAGCCGCGGUAAUACGUAGGGUCCAAGCGUUAUCCGGAAUCACUGGGUUUAAAGGGUGCGUCGGCGGCUUAGUAAGUUUGGGGUGAAAUUCUGUCGCUUAACGAUAGAACGGCCUCGGAUACUGCUAAGCUAGAGUAUAGCAGAGGAAAGCAGAAUUCGUGGUGUAGCGGUGAAAUGCAUAGAUACCACGAGGAAUACCGAUAGCGAAGGCCGCUUUCUGGGCUAUUACUGACGCUUAGGCACGAAAGCGUGGGGAGCGAACAGGAUUAGAUACCCUGGUAGUCCACGCUGUAACGAUGGAUAUUCGGUGUCGGCACAUUGGGUGCCUGCGCCUGAGUGAAAGCGUUAAAUAUCCACCUGGGGAGUACGUCGGCACGAUGAAACUCAAAGGAUUGACGGGGUCCGCACAAGCGUGGAGUAGGGGUUUAUUCGAUGAU
rnacentral:rRNA from 1 species